GCCCUUCUCAGUUGUGGACGCUCAUCACUGGCGUUAUCCUUCUUGCAGUAGGCAUUUGGGGCAAGGUGAGCCUGGAGAAUUACUUUUCUCUUUUAAAUGAGAAGGCCACCAAUGUCCCCUUCGUGCUCAUUGCUACUGGUACCGUCAUUAUUCUUUUGGGCACCUUUGGUUGUUUUGCUACCUGCCGAGCUUCUGCAUGGAUGCUAAAACUGUAUGCAAUGUUUCUGACUCUCAUUUUUUUGGUCGAACUGGUCGCUGCCAUCGUAGGAUUUGUUUUCAGACAUGAGAUUAAGAAUAGGUUUAAGAAUAAUUAUGAGAAGGCUUUGAAGCAGUAUAACUCUGCAGGAGAUUAUAGAAGCCAUGCAGUAGACAAGAUCCAAAAUACGUUGCAUUGUUGUGGUGUCACCGAUCAUAGAGAUUGGACAGAUACUAAUUAUUACUCAGAAAAAGGAUUUCCUAAGAGUUGCUGUAAACUUGAAGAUUGUACUCCACAGAGAGAUGCAGACAAAGUAAACAAUGAAGGUUGUUUUAUAAAGGUGAUGACCAUUAUAGAGUCAGAAAUGGGAGUCGUUGCAGGACUUUCCUUUGGAGUUGCUUGCUUCCAACUGAUUGGAAUCUUUCUCGCCUACUGCCUCUCUCGUGCCAUAACAAAUAACCAGUAUGAGAUAGUGUAACCCAAUGUAUCUGCGGGCCUAUUCCUGUCUACCUUUAAGGACACUUAGAGUCCCCCUUCUGAAUUAGAAAGUUGCCUGGCUGGAGAACUGACAACACUACUUACUGAUAGACCAAAAAACUACACCAGUAGGUUGAUUCGAUCAAGAUGUAUGUAGACCUAAAACUACACCAAUAGGCUGAUUCAAUCAAGAUCUGUGCUCGCAAUGGGCUGAUUCAAUCAAGAUGUAUGUUUGCUAUGUUCUAAGUCCACCUUCUGUCCCAUUCAUGUUAGAUCGUUGAAACCCUGUAUCCCUCUGAAACACUGGAAGAGCUAGUAAAUUGUAAAUGAAGUAAAAAAAAAAAAAAAAAAAAAAAA